rnacentral:lncRNA from 1 species
GCGACCGCGACCAGGGGAAAAAGAAGGGGAGAAACCCUACUUCAUCAAUUGAACUCCAAAUUCAGCAAAUUAGUAGUGAUUCUUGGCACAAUUCGAAUGCAUGUGUUUAAAUACUCUAUAAUCCAAGUGAGUGAAAGAAGAAGGAGCUAAUUCCGGUUCGCAACAAAAGGCUCAAGAACGAGGUAAAUCUCAAGCUUAAAUGCUAUUGCCUCGCUCGGAACCGAACACACCUUGAACGCCUUUAUGCGUUUCCGCAAUUUUUGAAGUAUCAUCAAUGGGUCAAUACUUUUGUUAAAUUAGGCUAAGUUUGAUAGUUAAAGUCUAAACUUGAAGUUGUAAAUCUUUUGUCAAAAUACUAGUUGUAAUGGUUGUUUGAAAGGUCUUUAAAAUUUUAUGAGUU